CGGGUGAGUAACACGUGGGCAAUCUGCCCUGCACUCUGGGACAAGCCCUGGAAACGGGGUCUAAUACCGGAUAUUGACCUUCACGGGCAUCUGUGAGGUUCGAAAGCUCCGGCGGUGCAGGAUGAGCCCGCGGCCUAUCAGCUUGUUGGUGAGGUAAUGGCUCACCAAGGCGACGACGGGUAGCCGGCCUGAGAGGGCGACCGGCCACACUGGGACUGAGACACGGCCCAGACUCCUACGGGAGGCAGCAGUGGGGAAUAUUGCACAAUGGGCGAAAGCCUGAUGCAGCGACGCCGCGUGAGGGAUGACGGCCUUCGGGUUGUAAACCUCUUUCAGCAGGGAAGAAGCGAAAGUGACGGUACCUGCAGAAGAAGCGCCGGCUAACUACGUGCCAGCAGCCGCGGUAAUACGUAGGGCGCAAGCGUUGUCCGGAAUUAUUGGGCGUAAAGAGCUCGUAGGCGGCUUGUCACGUCGGUUGUGAAAGCCCGGGGCUUAACCCCGGGUCUGCAGUCGAUACGGGCAGGCUAGAGUUCGGUAGGGGAGAUCGGAAUUCCUGGUGUAGCGGUGAAAUGCGCAGAUAUCAGGAGGAACACCGGUGGCGAAAGCGGAUCUCUGGGCCGAUACUGACGCUGAGGAGCGAAAGCGUGGGGAGCGAACAGGAUUAGAUACCCUGGUAGUCCACGCCGUAAACGGUGGGCACUAGGUGUGGGCAACAUUCCACGUUGUCCGUGCCGCAGCUAACGCAUUAAGUGCCCCGCCUGGGGAGUACGGCCGCAAGGCUUAAACUCAAAGGAAUUGACCGCGGCCCGCACAAGCGGCGGAGCAUGUGG
rnacentral:rRNA from 1 species